rnacentral:rRNA from 1 species
UACGGGGGGAGCAAGCGUUGUUCGGAUUUACUGGGCGUAAAGGGCGCGUAGGCGGCACUGCAAGUCAGUUGUGAAAUCUCCGGGCUUAACCCGGAAAGGUCAACUGAUACUGCAGGGCUAGAGUGCAGAAGGGGCAACUGGAAUUCUCGGUGUAGCGGUGAAAUGCGUAGAUAUCGAGAGGAACACCAAUGGCGAAGGCAGCUCGCUGGGACGUGACUGACGCUGAGACGCGAAAGCGUGGGGAGCAAACAGG